rnacentral:lncRNA from 1 species
GAAUAAAGACGAAGAAAAAGGAUUAUUUACUCGUUUUGAAAGAAGAGUAAAAGAGAAUUAGUACAGUGCCAUCAAAAAAAUAUAAUUAGAACACCCAUUGUUCCUUCGACUGAGAAUAUGUGUAGUGUCUAUCACUAUUUCGAAAAGAUGAUCAUCAAAAAGGACUUUUACUCCGAAGUAUUAGUGAAGAUUGUUCUUGAGUUUAUAAUUUAACAAAUUGCAUCUCUAUCUUCCUCCGCCUUCAGCUUAAGCGAAUUCGUCAUAAUAGAUCCGAUCGUAAAUGGUAUUGAUUCCUUUAGAACAAGUGUUUUGGACACGUUCAUUGGUUAUCAUGAUCCUUGUCUGUAGUGCAAGAGAAAGAUCGAUUGAAGCAAUUAUAAAGAAACGUAUCUUUAUUAGAUCUGUUGCCUCCUUCAAUGAACCCUGGACAAGUACAACCUCCCUCUCCAGAAUACAAUGACUCCCAUGAAAACUGUUCAACCAAAACCAUUCAUACUAGCAUGCCCACAGAUUCCAUAGAAGGGAGAACUCAUGAACAAAACAAUAAUGAAGAGCAAUUGAGAAACAAUGCCUCAUACUGGGAUCAACAAAGUCACUAUGAGAAUGGCUAUUAUGAUCCUCAAUUUCAUCCUUGAAAACUACUAUUACGGUAGAUCAACCACUGGAAAAAUGGAAAUAGAAUCAGGGAAUCAUUAAUAAAAUUACUUAAUAUACAGACUUUCCGUAUGUAACUUUUUCGAUAAAUCUGAUCAGAUAUCAACGACAACUCAAUCCGAAAUAAUGAUAAAAGUCGACUUGAUGUCCAUUCCCAAGACUCUACUGAGACUCGCCAUCAGAACAAUAAGGCCAAAGGACUUGUAAGGAAUCUUAAUUGUGGGUGGCUCAAUAAUAGCAUUCUCAACAACAAGGGGAGUAACAACAUAAAAAGCUUUAAUGCCAUCAAGAAUAAAAAGCCGAGUCCAAAAAUGAAAAAAAUGCGCAAAAAGAGAGCAUCUCCUCAUGAACACAUACCCUAUACAAGUCAAAACGAGGAGAACCAUUAUAUUUGUGAAUUUGAACACUGUGGGUAUAUAGCACGUCGUCGUUCCAAUAUGUUACGGCACAUUGAUGCAAUGCAUGCCUCUCAUUACAUAAUUUGUUGUAAUCAAUUAUUCCCCACAAAAACACACUUUGAGGCUCAUCGGCUACGGAUUCAUAGCGAAGGGAUUUUCACAUGUCUAGUCCAAAGCUGUGAUCGCUCAUUUAAUCGAAAGUCAAAUCUUCACAAACACAAAGAUCAUUUCCACUCAGACAGCCCCAAAGCUUCCAUAUCAUGUUCUGUAUGUUUGGAAGUACUUCCACGCUCCGAAAGAAAAGAAAAUGUCGUGAAGAACCAUGCCAUUACUCACUCUAGAGACUAAUUCCAUUAGUAGCAGUACCUAAACCUUGCUUUUCUCAAUCACCUAGAAUCAACUACGGGUAGAAUUAUGUCACA